GUAUGGCAUCCGUCGGCAGUGCUAGCGGCAGCGAUGACGACCACCGCGAAGUUUCACGAAAUUUUGUUAAGCUUCAGCAAUAGCGCGUCGACGAUAAAACGCUACGGGCGUUUUCCGAACGAGUACUACGUCAACGAUGAUGAGAUGACGAACGUGCUCAGAGCAACCGAAGCUAACAAGUUACUGUGGCUAAGAACAGUGCACGCUGGAGCAUUCGGACACUGCAUUGGAGUACGCAACACAAGUGCAAAGUACCUACACCGUCGUGUAAGCGUAAGCCGGAAAAUUACUCAUAAGCGAGCAACGACCGACGACCAACCGAGAUAUAGGGUAGACCAACCAUAAGCCAAAGCCAGCCGCCAAGUCGCUACGACCGCGGGUUGUUGACGCUGCUGGGAAGAAAGUGUAUGCUUUUUACGAGUCAUAAAUCACACGCUGAGUGCCAUUGGAACGUAGUGUAUGCAUUCAGCUGCGCAGGACAUUUCCAGCACAGUAAUGGCGGCCAGCCAACGACCAGCAACAUAACAUGUCAUCGGCAACAACGACGCAAACCCGGCAAGGACGACGACCAAGAGGAUGUGAAUGCAACCGCAAAAACAUGCAACAACAUAAUGACCAUCUUAGGAGAGCCCUGAACGGUGGGGUUUUUUAAUGUAUAUACACAAUAA